rnacentral:rRNA from 1 species
UACGGGGGGGGCAAGCGUUGUUCGGAAUUACUGGGCGUAAAGGGCUCGUAGGCGGCCAACUAAGUCAGACGUGAAAUCCCCCGGCUUAACCAGGGAACUGCGUCUGAUACUGGAUGGCUUGAGUUUGGGAGAGGGAUGCGGAAUUCCAGGUGUAGCGGUGAAAUGCGUAGAUAUCUGGAGGAACACCGGUGGCGAAGGCGGCAUCCUGGACCGGCAUUGACGCUGAGGCGCGAAAGCGUGGGGAGCGAACAGG